UAGAGUUUGAUCAUGGCUCAGAACGUACGCUGGCGGCACGCCUAACACAUGCAAGUCGAACGAAGUAGCAAUACUUAGUGGCAGACGGGUGAGUAACAUGUAGGUAUCUACCCCAUGGCCUGGAAUAACACGAGGAAACUUGUGCUAAUACCGGAUAAGUCUUUACGGAGAAAGCUUUAUGCACCAUUGGAUGAGCCUGCACUUGAUUAGUUUGUUGGUGGGGUAAUGGCCUACCAAGACUUUGAUCAAUAGCUGAUUUGAGAGGAUGAUCAGCCACAUUGGGACUGAGACACGGCCCAAACUCCUACGGGAGGCAGCAGUGGGGAGUCUUGCACAAUGGAGGAAACUCUGAUGCAGCGAUGCCGCGUGAGUGAAGAAGGCCUUUGGGUUGUAAAGCUCUUUCGUCGGGGAAGAAAAUGACUGUACCCGAAUAAGAAGGUCCGGCUAACUUCGUGCCAGCAGCCGCGGUAAUACGAAGGGACCUAGCGUAGUUCGGAAUUACUGGGCUUAAAGAGUUCGUAGGUGGUUGAAAAAGUUGGUGGUGAAAUCCCAGAGCUUAACUCUGGAACUGCCAUCAAAACUUUUCAGCUAGAGUAUGAUAGAGGAAAGCAGAAUUUCUAGUGUAGAGGUGAAAUUCGUAGAUAUUAGAAAGAAUACCAAUUGCGAAGGCAGCUUUCUGGAUCA
rnacentral:rRNA from 1 species